rnacentral:misc_RNA from 1 species
UCAAAUUUACUAUUUAAAUUUUCCAUGUACAUUUUACAAAUUCAUUGAUAGAAUUUAAAUUAAACUUUAAUGUACCAGUCCGCACUAGUGUUGCUAGUCAAAUUCGCUAUAAAUUAUUAUAACAUAAGUAUGUAUUAUAUGUAUGUACAUACAUACAUAAAUACAUUACUAAUUUUAACUUUAUGAAGUUUCCUCAUAGUCUUCUCUCGAUAAAAGAAAUAAAUCGAUAGCGUAUAGAUUAAAUAUUUGGUUUAAUUUUUUGUCUUCGCUAAAUUUUUGGUUAUAACAGUAUGGUAAAAUUCGUAGCCCAUUCGCCGUUUGAUAUAUUCCAUGGAACAAAACGAAAAACGUUCAAGAAUUAUUCUAACUCACACAUUACUAUAGCCAAGUUUGACAAAUCAAACAGUAUUUCAAAAGCUUUAAGGUUACAAGUGAAUCCUAAAGAUGGUAAUUUCAACAAUAAAAGUAUAAAUGACCUGAAAGUGCAAAGAAAUGAAGAUUCUUACAAGAAUAAAUUAAAGGUUACUCUCUUCGUUCGCUAUUAACACGAGCGAAUACUGGAAGAACGUGCUUUGUAAUCAAUGGCUAUUAGCGUUACAAGGAAUUAUAAUAGUAAUUGUAAUUUUUACUAUGAGAACAUGGAUUGGAUAUGAGUGUAAAGAAGACAUCAUUGACGACAGUCUAGUGGCAUUGUGGCGUUCAUUUAUCGAACGAUUACGAGAAACCAUCACCGAUGUGGAAAUGGAAUUACGACCGUGUUAUCGUAUAGAAAUGGAUACUCAACAAAAGAAAGCAAGCAUUCUGAAGCGAAGACGUAUGUUUGUAAAUGGAUAACAAUUACUUUUUUGUUCGUAAAAAUAAAAAAAUUUACAAUAUCGUCCUUUUCUCAAAUUAUAAAUUUUUAACAUUGAGCAUUUCCAAGAAAAACCAAACCAUUAGAAGAAGCCAAGAAGCGUUAUCUUUCAACAUUAUAUUUAUGUAAUUUUAACUAAAAAAUUAAUAAAAAAACAUGGAUUAUAAAAUGUAACGUAAAUAAUUAAUAUUUAAAGUAAAUAUUUUACAAGAAUAGAAAUAUAUAAACUUAUAAUUCUUCUACAAGGAUUCAAAAGCAUAGUAGAAGAUUACUAUUUCAGCGUAUACUUUGAUAACAUUGUUCUCUUACGCUUUUUUUGUAAUGCAUAAUCUCAAUCUGCGUUUGAUGCUAAAAAUUAAUAAAUUAAUUACAAUUUUUCAAAAUUUUACGUUGUAUCUGAUUAUCCUUCAAUCUUUGUUUUCUAUUUCACGACUUUCUUCAUGCGUACGUAUAAAAAAUCCAAAUAUAUCUAUAUCUACAUCAACGUGAAUAAAUUGUUUGUCGACUAAACAUGGACUGAAUGAAAAGUAAUGUCUCCAUGAGCACUGACUGGAUGGGAAUUAAAACAUCUGUUAAAUUGGAGUAAUAUUUUUACCGACAUAGUGCGAAAACGCUCCAUCAAACUUCUACAAAAUAUAUCAAUUACGUAAAAUCGUAAAAUAUAAACUAACGAAAGUGAUUAAUAAAUGUUGUAUAAAAAAUAAAAUGUCGUAGGACUAUAACAGUCAAAAGUUAAUGAAAAUUAAUAACGUAAAAUCACUUCUAACAUUACGUGAAGUAUAGUCAACGGAACUGGCGUUUAUUUUCAUUUGUAUGUUACUUAUUUAUUACUUCAAAUUACUUUUACCAAUCAGAAAAACCAUAUAAGUGGAGAGUGGAAACUAGUUAUUAAAACAAGCUAAAGUGUAAACGUGCUAAUAAAAAUUACUACGUUGCACUUUAAUUGUCUGUUGACUUUAAAGCUGGUAAAAAUGCAACAUUUCUUUGACGCUCUGUCCUAACGAGGGAGAAAUUUAUAAUUCUCGGAAAAAAAAAGAAAAUUGCAUUAUUGGAUUAACAUUAACGUAACUUUAUUCUUGGAAUUAUUUAGAUUUAAAAAUGUCGCUAUUUCGCGAUUAUCCGAGUAAAUGGAGAUUUCAGAAAGAAAAGACAUAUUGCCCCGUCAUAUAUCUUUAUUCUUUUCUUUGUAAAGCAUUACGCGGAAAUAACCUCUCUCUUUUAAAGCUAUCGAAUAAUAAAAAACCUAUUUUGUAAGUUGUUCUUAAAAAACAUAAUUUGAUAUAAAAUGCACAUGCACUGAAAGAAUUAUUUU